rnacentral:rRNA from 1 species
UACGUAGGGUGCAAACGUAUCCGGAAUUAUUGGGCGUAAAGAGCUCGUAGGCGGUUUGUCGCGUCUGCUGUGAAAACCGGAGGCUCAACCUCCGGCCUGCAGUGGGUACGGGCAAACUAGAGUGCGGUAGGGGAGAUUGGAAUUCCUGGUGUAGCGGUGGAAUGCGCAGAUAUCAGGAGGAACACCGAUGGCGAAGGCAGAUCUCUGGGCCGUAACUGACGCUGAGGAGCGAAAGCGUGGGGAGCGAACAGG